rnacentral:rRNA from 1 species
AAUACGUUCCCGGACCUUGCACACACCGCCCCGUCAAGCCAUGGAAGCUGGGUGUACCUAAAGUCGGUAACCGCAAGGAGCCGCCUAGGGUAAAAACUAGUGACUGGGGCU